GUGGGGGGUUGUCAGUGCACUUUUCUGAAGGGCUCUGGGUUCCCAACCACCCAGACUGGAAUGUGCAGAGUCCCCAAGAAUUAGCAGUGCCCCUUCACAGAGAUGCCUGGGGGUGCCUGUCUCAGCGCUGACUACGCCUCCCCCGUGACUCCACCCCAGAUAGGCAUCCAGGACACAGGAGGCGUCGCCCUGCCUGACCCUGCAGCAGCGGACCUGUGGCUAUCUGGAGGCCUAACGCCUGCUCUGGGGCUGCCUCUUUGGAUGACUCCCUGGGCCCCUCUUUCCCCAUCUGUAAAAUGGGGUGCUUGUCCAUUUUGGCUGCGUGGGAGGGGAUAAAUAGGACCGAAUUCUCAAAAGCUGUAAAAUGCAGUGCGCAUGGGAAAUGGCCCAAUAAAUAAAAGGCCUCGCGAUGGAGGACAGCCUGGCCACCUGAGCUGCUGCUGCUUCUGACAUUGGACGGUGCCUCUGCAUUUCUAUUCUCAACCACACGAGGGCGAUAGCGACCACCUGAUUCCUGUUGAGGACCACCCAUCAGAGUGAACACUACUAUCCCCAUUUUCCAGAUGAGAAAAGUGAAGGCUCGGAGAGAUACCGGAACCCGUGUAAGAGGUGUCAGUGGGCAUUUUUGACAGAUGAGGGAAUGGAGCUCAGAGAGGUUACAAGUUUUGAUCAAGGUCACACAGUGAAGGAGUGGACGGCCAGGACCAGAACUUCAACAGCUGGUCCGCAGACAGAGCUCAGGCUCCUUCCCCCUCCUGCCUCCUCGCCCCUCAGUCCAGGAAGGCAGGCAGAGCAGCUGCCCCAGUGCUGGGCAUCCUCCCCAGAGACCGGUACCUGGGACGGCUGGUGGGGGACAGUGGAGGACAGUGGUGACUUCCUGGCUUACAUACCUUGGGAAUCAGGGCUCCCAGUGUGGACGUGGUGAGCGGAGGAAGCUCUUCAAACUGUAGGACAAGGAAAAGGGUCAUGUGAGUCCCGAGGUGACAGGGACAGAUGGGCAUUGCCAACAUGGUGACCAGAACCAUCUCCUUUCCCUAAAGGACCCCUUGGGAAGCCCCGCCUGUCCAGCAGUGGCCACUAUGUAGACCAGGCUCACCACAGACCCCACCUGAAGAACGAAGGCGAGGCCCGAACCUUUCUUCUGCAGAUGUGUGACUCUUUGCUAAGGCAAGGGGAGCGCCGUCGGGCCCCUUUGCAAUGUCUGGGUCCCUGGCCCAUGACUUCUGCCGUAUCCCUGAUACUGCCAUUGGUUUCAGAUCUUCCCUAAACCAACUCACUUUUGUGGGGAGGUACUGGGGUUGAACUCAGGGACACUCAACUACUGAGCCCCAUCCCUAGCCCUAUUUUGUAUUUUAUUAGAGACAGAGUCUCACUGAGUUGCUUAGCGCCUCUCCAUUGCUGAGGCUGGCUUUGAACUCGCAAUCCUCCUGCCUCGGCCUCCAGAGCGGCUGGAAUUACAGGUGUGCACCAUGGUGCCCAGCUUAACUCACUUCUGAAGACCUCAGAUACUAAAAAGAGUGUACAGCCAGCACCACUUGACAGAAAGAGACGCCAACCAUGAAGCCAGUGUCUGUUUUCUCCUAGUUAAACUGCAGGGGCAGAGGGUAUAGGUCACUAAGUGUAAUCAAACAGUGCCAGCGUUUGUAUGGGCUUCUUGUUGCUUGUUUUGUUUGCAGACACCUGUUCUUGGAACAGGGAGGUGGUUUGUGGAGCAAAUCCCAUGGGGCCUCAUGAAGCCCCAACUGUUCAACAGAUAGGGUGGGUGGAUGGAUGGAUGGACAGAUAUCUGACAGAUUGUGGAUGGAGGGAUGGAUGGGUGGGUGGAUGACAGACAGAUGGACAGGUA